AACGCACCUUGCGCUCCUUGGUAUUCCGAGGAGCAUGCCUGUUUGAGUGUCAUUUAAUUCUCAAUCACUACAAUCUUGUGUUGUUUAGUGGAUUGGAGGUGGGGGUUUUUGUGGGUUUAUUUUAAUAGAUCUGCUCCCCUUAAAAUCAUUAGCUGGAAUGCCUUUGCAAAACCAACUAUCAGUAUGAUAAUUAUCUACUCUGAUGUUGUUGUAAAAGGGGAUCUGCUUUCAAACCGUCGUUCAGACACUAUGAAUCAAUUUGACCUCAAAUCAGGUAGGACUACCCGCUGAACUUAA
rnacentral:misc_RNA from 1 species